AAUCCAUAGGUUAAUGAGGCGAACCGGGGGAACUGAAACAUCUAAGUACCCCGAGGAAAAGAAAUCAACCGAGAUUCCCCCAGUAGCGGCGAGCGAACGGGGAGGAGCCCAGAGCCUGAAUCAGCAUGUGUGUUAGUGGAAGCGUCUGGAAAGGCGCGCGAUACAGGGUGACAGCCCCGUACACAAAAGCGCAUGUGCUGUGAGCUCGAUGAGUAGGGCGGGACACGUGGUAUCCUGUCUGAAUAUGGGGGGACCAUCCUCCAAGGCUAAAUACUCCUGACUGACCGAUAGUGAACCAGUACCGUGAGGGAAAGGCGAAAAGAACCCCGGCGAGGGGAGUGAAAAAGAACCUGAAACCGUGUACGUACAAGCAGUGGGAGCACAGGUUUACCUGUGUGACUGCGUACCUUUUGUAUAAUGGGUCAGCGACUUAUAUUCUGUAGCAAGGUUAACCGAAUAGGGGAGCCGGAGGGAAACCGAGUCUUAAUUGGGCGUUAAGUUGCAGGGUAUAGACCCGAAACCCGGUGAUCUAGCCAUGGGCAGGUUGAAGGUUGGGUAACACUAACUGGAGGACCGAACCGACUAAUGUUGAAAAAUUAGCGGAUGACCUGUGGCUGGGGGUGAAAGGCCAAUCAAACCGGGAGAUAGCUGGUUCUCCCCGAAAGCUAUUUAGGUAGCGCCUCGUGAACUCAUCUCCGGGGGUAGAGCACUGUUUCGGCUAGGGGGUCAUCCCG
rnacentral:rRNA from 1 species